UAACGCGAAGAACCUUACCAAGUCUUGACAUCCUCCUGGAUACAGGGUAAUGCCUGUAGGCCUUCGGGACAGGAGAGACAGGUGGUGCAUGGUUGUCGUCAGCUCGUGUCGUGAGAUGUUGGGUUAAGUCCCGCAACGAGCGCAACCCCUAUCUUUAGUAGCCAGCGAGUAAGGUCGGGCACUCUAGAGAGACUGCCGGGGAUAACCCGGAGGAAGGUGGGGAUGACGUCAAAUCAUCAUGCCCCUUAUGAUUUGGGCUACACACGUGCUACAAUGGCGUAAACAGAGGGAAGCGAGCCUGCGAGGGGGAGCAAAUCCCAAAAAUAACGUCCCAGUUCGGAUUGUAGUCUGCAACCCGACUACAUGAAGCUGGAAUCGCUAGUAAUCGCGGAUCAGAAUGCCGCGGUGAAUACGUUCCCGGGCCUUGUACACACCGA
rnacentral:rRNA from 1 species